AACGAACGCUGGCGGCAUGCCUAAUACAUGCAAGUCGAACGAGAUCUUCGGAUCUAGUGGCGCACGGGUGCGUAACGCGUGGGAAUCUGCCCUUGGGUUCGGAAUAACUUCUGGAAACGGAAGCUAAUACCGGAUGAUGACGUAAGUCCAAAGAUUUAUCGCCCAAGGAUGAGCCCGCGUAGGAUUAGGUAGUUGGUGAGGUAAAGGCUCACCAAGCCGACGAUCCUUAGCUGGUUUGAGAGGAUGAUCAGCCACACUGGGACUGAGACACGGCCCAGACUCCUACGGGAGGCAGCAGUAGGGAAUAUUGGACAAUGGGCGAAAGCCUGAUCCAGCAAUGCCGCGUGAGUGAUGAAGGCCUUAGGGUUGUAAAGCUCUUUUACCCGGGAUGAUAAUGACAGUACCGGGAGAAUAAGCUCCGGCUAACUCCGUG
rnacentral:rRNA from 1 species